UCCUACGGGAGGCAGCAGUGGGGAAUAUUGCACAAUGGGCGAAAGCCUGAUGCAGCAACGCCGCGUGCGGGAUGACGGCCUUCGGGUUGUAAACCGCUUUCAGCAGGGACGAAGCGCAAGUGACGGUACCUGCAGAAGAAGCACCGGCUAACUACGUGCCAGCAGCCGCGGUGAUACGUAGGGUGCGAGCGUUGUCCGGAAUUAUUGGGCGUAAAGAGCUUGUAGGCGGUCCGUUGCGUCGGAAGUGAAAACUCAGGGCUUAACCCUGAGCCUGCUUUCGAUACGGGCGGACUUGAGGAAUGUAGGGGAGAACGGAAUUCCUGGUGGAGCGGUGGAAUGCGCAGAUAUCAGGAGGAACACCAGUGGCGAAGGCGGUUCUCUGGACAUUUCCUGACGCUGAGAAGCGAAAGCGUGGGGAGCAAACAGGAUUAGAUACCCUUGUAGUC
rnacentral:rRNA from 1 species